rnacentral:rRNA from 1 species
UACGUAGGUGGCAAGCGUUGUCCGGAUUUACUGGGCGUAAAGAGCGCGCAGGCGGUCGUUCAAGUCGCGUGUGAAGGCCCCCGGCUCAACUGGGGAGGGUCACGCGAUACUGAUCGACUCGAAGGCAGGAGAGGGUAGUGGAAUUCCCGGUGUAGUGGUGAAAUGCGUAGAUAUCUGGAGGAACACCGGUGGCGAAGGCGGCAUCCUGGACCGGUAUUGACGCUGAUGAGCGAAAGCCAGGGGAGCAAACGGG